GACGAACGCUGGCGGCGUGCUUAACACAUGCAAGUCGAACGGUAAGGCCCUUCGGGGUACACGAGUGGCGAACGGGUGAGUAACACGUGGGUGAUCUGCCCUGCACUUCGGGAUAAGCCUGGGAAACUGGGUCUAAUACCGGAUAGGACUCCUGCCUGCAUGGGUGGGGGUGGAAAGCUUUUGCGGUGUGGGAUGGGCCCGCGGCCUAUCAGCUUGUUGGUGGGGUGAUGGCCUACCAAGGCGACGACGGGUAGCCGGCCUGAGAGGGUGACCGGCCACACUGGGACUGAGAUACGGCCCAGACUCCUACGGGAGGCAGCAGUGGGGAAUAUUGCACAAUGGGCGCAAGCCUGAUGCAGCGACGCCGCGUGAGGGAUGACGGCCUUCGGGUUGUAAACCUCUUUCAGCACAGACGAAGCGCAAGUGACGGUAUGUGCAGAAGAAGGACCGGCCAACUACGUGCCAGCAGCCGCCGUAA
rnacentral:rRNA from 1 species